ACGAACGCUGGCGGCAUGCCUAACACAUGCAAGUCGAACGAGACCUUCGGGUCUAGUGGCGCACGGGUGCGUAACGCGUGGGAAUCUGCCCUUGGGUUCGGAAUAACUUCGGGAAACUGAAGCUAAUACCGGAUGAUGACGUAAGUCCAAAGAUUUAUCGCCCAAGGAUGAGCCCGCGUAGGAUUAGCUAGUUGGUGAGGUAAGGGCUCACCAAGGCGACGAUCCUUAGCUGGUCUGAGAGGAUGAUCAGCCACACUGGGACUGAGACACGGCCCAGACUCCUACGGGAGGCAGCAGUGGGGAAUAUUGGACAAUGGGCGAAAGCCUGAUCCAGCAAUGCCGCGUGAGUGAUGAAGGCCUUAGGGUUGUAAAGCUCUUUUACCCGGGAUGAUAAUGACAGUACCGGGAGAAUAAGCUCCGGCUAACUCCGU
rnacentral:rRNA from 1 species